rnacentral:lncRNA from 1 species
GAGGGAAGAGGGGCCGACUGGAUCCAGUGGAGGAGAAGGAGAGGGAGGGGAGAGAGAGAGGGAGGAGAGGAGGUGGGGCCUAGAGGGAAGAGCUCCCAUGCCACCCCGGCCCAGCUACCCGCACUCCCCGGCCUCGGCCCCGGCCGCGCAGCCCGCCUCGGCUAAGGGAGAGGGAGGAGGAGCCUGUGGAGAGGGAGGGGGGGCUGGCCGUAUCCACGGAGGAGAAGGAGAGGGAGGAGAGAGAGAGGGAGGAGGAGAGGAGGUCUGUGGGAGUUGGAAUUAAGGAGAGGGAGGAGAGAAAGUAGGGCGCGCGCAUUGUGUGUGUGGGUUGGGGGGUUGUCUAGGCCAGUGGCCCCCUUUAGUCCCGGUUGAAACAACCAAUCGUGACAAAACACCCCACCAGAUUUCCAAGGGCCACUAGCCUUUACAACCGGGACUAAAGGGGUUCUUUAGUUCCGGUUGAUAUUACCUACCGAGACUAAAGAUCCCCCGUCGGUGGUCAUCAGAGGCUGAUUUAACUCUUUUGCUUGAAUAAAAAAAUAUUUUAAUUUAAUGGGUAUUUGAGUUGAAGGAAAUAAUUAAAUCAAAAUUCUUUUGGUUUUCUAUUAAACGUGUAGACAUAAAUUUAGUGAUGAAAAUAAAAAAUAUUAUUAGUUUGAAAAACACAUCUGAUCUUUUACCAUAGUAACACACGAGCAUUUUGCUAGGAAUAUAUUAAGUGAGAUGACUUCAUUCUAAAUAGGCUGAUCCAAUUCACUCAAAUAAAAAAAUCAUCGUUAUUUUAAACUAUUUCAUACUAAACUAAAUGAUACAAGUAACCAAAUACACC